rnacentral:rRNA from 1 species
AUGAUCUUCCGUAGGGUGAACCUGCGGAAGGAUCAUUACCUAGAGUUGUAGGCUUUGCCUGCUAUCUCUUACCCAUGUCUUUUGAGUACCUUCGUUUCCUCGGCGGGUCCGCCCGCCGAUUGGACACAUUUAAACCCUUUGUAGUUGCAAUCAGCGUCUGAAAAACUUUAAUAGUUACAACUUUCAACAACGGAUCUCUUGGUUCUGGCAUCGAUGAAGAACGCAGCGAAAUGCGAUAAGUAGUGUGAAUUGCAGAAUUCAGUGAAUCAUCGAAUCUUUGAACGCACAUUGCGCCCCUUGGUAUUCCAUGGGGCAUGCCUGUUCGAGCGUCAUUUGUACCUUCAAGCUUUGCUUGGUGUUGGGUGUUUGUCUCGCCUCUGCGCGCAGACUCGCCUCAAAACAAUUGGCAGCCGGCGUAUUGAUUUCGGAGCGCAGUACAUCUCGCGCUUUGCACUCAUAACGACGACGUCCAAAAAGUACAUUUUUUACACUCU